UCUCUCUCUCUCUCUCUCUCUCUCUCUGCUGAUUCCUCAGAUCUCCCCCGCGCUCGCUGUUCUCCCUGCCUCUCCCUCGUUCGUUUCUCUCGAUCAGAUUUGCUUCCGCUUCUCCUUCUCCUUCUCCUUCUCCUUCUCCUUCUUCCCUCUCCCCCACACCCCCAAACCUCUCGCGCUCGCUAGGGUUUUCGGUACCCCCUUCCCCCCGCGCUUCCUCCCGCGACUCCUCCUCGCCCAUGGCCUUCGGAGCCUUAGAGGCCGCGGAGCCCGAAGGGGCGGCGGCUCCUCCCCCCGUCGAGGGCAAGGAGGAGCUCCCCGAGAAAUUAGAGGUGGAGGAAAUCGAGCCGUGGUUUCGAUUUUGGUCGAGCGAGAUUAGCAAGGAUCAGUAGUUGUAGAUCCCAUUUAGAGUGUCAAAGGGAAGGUGGUGAUUGAUGCCUUCCGUUUGAUCAACCCACAAACCAUGAUGCUUGGCCAAGAACCCAGGUAGACAACCUCCAACCAUGGACAUCUCAACAAACCGUCCAUCCAAGCAUUGAUCCAUGGGCUGAACAGACACUAUUACUCAAUUGCCAUCAAUUACAGAAAGAAUGAACUGGAGGAAAAAAUGCUACUUAAUCUUCACAAGAAGAAAUGGACAGAUGGCUUGACGCUUCGCCGUUUUGACACACAUUCUAAAACCAAUGAACAAACUGUUCAGGUGUGACAGAUAAAUUACAACGCAUCCACCGCAAUUAUUGUGUACGAAGCAAAAAGGUCCUUAUGGCCAUUAUGCAUUCUACUUGGCCUCAUUAUGGUGUGCAGUUUCACUCAAAGAGUGUUGCGACUUGUCAUGGGAGACAAAUUUUCGAGAAUCUCAGGGGAAUAACAGAAGAUUAUUGGUUGAGAUCAAGCUCCUCUUUCUUCAGAAGGAGAUAUGCUCAUUUUACUGCACGAAUCCAGGUGCCCCACGGUAAUCAUAUAUCAGGACAAGUUCGUUUAACAAAUACUCCCUCUGUGGAGAUUAAUGGCGAUCACUUGCUUCAAGAGGUUACUAGAAGCAGCAGACCAGUGUAUGAUUUGGACGAGAGGAACUGUCUUGGUAUGUCAAAUCUGGGGAUUUCACCUGCAACCAUUGACAUGAAGCUACUUAAGUUGACAUGGAGAAGGUUAGAAGGUUUGGCUGCUAGACUUGGUGGAUCCAAGAACAUAUUCUGUGAACUUUUUUCUGAUAACAAGGCUGAGAACACCUUUUGGUUGGAUAAUUCCUCAAUUGAGAAGGUCUGUCUUGAAUAGGAAGAAUGCACCUUUCAGUUUGGUUCUUUAUUUAUGUCAUUCUUGUGGAAAAUGUAGAUGACUGUAUUUCAUUUUCAUAUUAUUAUAAUAUUUUGAUGUUAUUAAGUGCUUAA